AGCAGCCGCGGUAAUUCCAGCUCCAAUAGCGUAUAUUAAAGUUGUUGCAGUUAAAAGCUCGUAGUUGAAUUUCGGGAUCAAUAUGUUGGUCGUGCCUCGGUACGUACUAGCAUAUUGGUUUCUCCUUUCUGAAGAACCAUGAUGUCAUUUAUUUGGUGUCGUGGGGAAUCAGGACUGUUACUUUGAAAAAUUAGAGUGUUUAAAGCAGGCUCACGCUUGAAUACAUUAGCAUGGAAUAAUGAAAUAGGACGUUUGAUUCUAUUUUGUUGGUUUCUAGGAUCGACGUAAUGAUUAAUAGGGAUAGUUGGGGGCAUUAGUAUUCAAUUGUCAGAGGUGAAAUUCUUGGAUUUAUUGAAGACUAACUACUGCGAAAGCAUUUGCCAAGGAUGUUUUCAUU
rnacentral:rRNA from 1 species